rnacentral:rRNA from 1 species
AUUGAACGCUGGCGGCAGGCCUAACACAUGCAAGUCGAACGGUAACAGGAAGCAGCUUGCUGCUUCGCUGACGAGUGGCGGACGGGUGAGUAAUGUCUGGGAAACUGCCUGAUGGAGGGGGAUAACUACUGGAAACGGUAGCUAAUACCGCAUAACGUCGCAAGACCAAAGAGGGGGACCUUCGGGCCUCUUGCCAUCGGAUGUGCCCAGAUGGGAUUAGCUAGUAGGUGGGGUAACGGCUCACCUAGGCGACGAUCCCUAGCUGGUCUGAGAGGAUGACCAGCCACACUGGAACUGAGACACGGUCCAGACUCCUACGGGAGGCAGCAGUGGGGAAUAUUGCACAAUGGGCGCAAGCCUGAUGCAGCCAUGCCGCGUGUAUGAAGAAGGCCUUCGGGUUGUAAAGUACUUUCAGCGGGGAGGAAGGCGAUAAGGUUAAUAACCUUGUCGAUUGACGUUACCCGCAGAAGAAGCACCGGCUAACUCCGUGCCAGCAGCCGCGGUAAUACGGAGGGUGCAAGCGUUAAUCGGAAUUACUGGGCGUAAAGCGCACGCAGGCGGUCUGUCAAGUCGGAUGUGAAAUCCCCGGGCUCAACCUGGGAACUGCAUUCGAAACUGGCAGGCUAGAGUCUUGUAGAGGGGGGUAGAAUUCCAGGUGUAGCGGUGAAAUGCGUAGAGAUCUGGAGGAAUACCGGUGGCGAAGGCGGCCCCCUGGACAAAGACUGACGCUCAGGUGCGAAAGCGUGGGGGAGCAAACAGGAUUAGAUACCCUGGUAGUCCACGCCGUAAACGAUGUCGACUUGGAGGUUGUGCCCUUGAGGCGUGGCUUCCGGAGCUAACGCGUUAAGUCGACCGCCUGGGGAGUACGGCCGCAAGGUUAAAACUCAAAUGAAUUGACGGGGGCCCGCACAAGCGGUGGAGCAUGUGGUUUAAUUCGAUGCAACGCGAAGAACCUUACCUACUCUUGACAUCCAGAGAACUUUCCAGAGGUGGAUUGGUGCCUUCGGGAACUCUGAGACAGGUGCUGCAUGGCUGUCGUCAGCUCGUGUUGUGAAAUGUUGGGUUAAGUCCCGCAACGAGCGCAACCCUUAUCCUUUGUUGCCAGCGGUUAGGCCGGGAACUCAAAGGAGACUGCCAGUGAUAAACUGGAGGAAGGUGGGGAUGACGUCAAGUCAUCAUGGCCCUUACGAGUAGGGCUACACACGUGCUACAAUGGCGCAUACAAAGAGAAGCGACCUCGCGAGAGCAAGCGGACCUCAUAAAGUGCGUCGUAGUCCGGAUUGGAGUCUGCAACUCGACUCCAUGAAGUCGGAAUCGCUAGUAAUCGUGGAUCAGAAUGCCACGGUGAAUACGUUCCCGGGCCUUGUACACACCGCCCGUCACACCAUGGGAGUGGGUUGCAAAAGAAGUAGGUAGCUUAACCUUCGGGAGGGCGCUUACCACUUUGUGAUUCAUGACUGGGGUG